rnacentral:rRNA from 1 species
GCUCAGAUUGAACGCUGGCGGCAGGCCUAACACAUGCAAGUCGAACGGUAACAGGAAGCAGCUUGCUGCUUUGCUGACGAGUGGCGGACGGGUGAGUAAUGUCUGGGAAACUGCCUGAUGGAGGGGGAUAACUACUGGAAACGGUAGCUAAUACCGCAUAACGUCGCAAGACCAAAGAGGGGGACCUUCGGGCCUCUUGCCAUCGGAUGUGCCCAGAUGGGAUUAGCUAGUAGGUGGGGUAACGGCUCACCUAGGCGACGAUCCCUAGCUGGUCUGAGAGGAUGACCAGCCACACUGGAACUGAGACACGGUCCAGACUCCUACGGGAGGCAGCAGUA